AAGUAAACGACAGAACUUUUUCACUCUGCUUUUAGCUUUAUUUGACCAAUUCCAAUACAUUCCCUGUUACCAUCAUUCAACAGUGAAGAAUAUCUGAUUCUGAACAUUUCUGAACCUCUGAACAAUAUCUGAUUUUGUGGGAAAAGCUUCUCAGUCUUUCAAGGAGAUAAACAACAACGGUACCGACUAAGUGAUUCUCUUCUGGAUCCGGACCGUGCGGAGCUUCUCAUUUUUCUUCUUCUUCUUCGUCUUCCUUCUCGAAGCUCGAAUCUUCAAGCUAAUAACAGGAAUAGGUGGGCAUCCUGGGAUGAGUCUCCGGCAGACCUUGGAGCUGUUUUGCUUGUGUGGAUAUCUUGCUUGUAGCUACUUGGGAUAGUAGCAUUUGAUCGCAACUUUUGUACACUUUAACUCU